UACAGAGGUCCCGAGCGUUGUUCGGAUUCACUGGGCGUAAAGGGUGCGUAGGUGGUGAGGUAAGUCGGAUGUGAAAUCUCGGGGCUUAACUCCGAAACUGCAUUCGAUACUGCCGUGCUUGAGGACUGGAGAGGAGACUGGAAUUUACGGUGUAGCGGUGAAAUGCGUAGAUAUCGUAAGGAAGACCAGUGGCGAAGGCGGGUCUCUGGACAGUUCCUGACGCUGAGGCACGAAGGUCAGGGGAGCAAACGGG
rnacentral:rRNA from 1 species